UACGUAGGUGACAAGCGUUGUCCGGAUUUACUGGGCGUAAAGAGCGCGCAGGCGGUCGUUCAAGUCGAGUGUGAAAGCCCCCGGCUCAACUGGGGAGGGUCAUUCGAUACUGAUCGACUCGAAGGCAGGAGAGGGUAGUGGAAUUCCCGGUGUAGUGGUGAAAUGCGUAGAUAUCGGGAGGAACACCUGUGGUGUAGACAGCUUACUGGACCAUCACUGACGCUGAGGCACGAAAGCGUGGGUAGCAAACAGG
rnacentral:rRNA from 1 species